rnacentral:tRNA from 1 species
GGGGAUUUAGCUCAGAUAUAUAAGCACCUGCCUUGCAAGCAGGCGGUUGUGAGUUCAAUCCCCA